GACGAACGCUGGCGGCGUGCUUAACACAUGCAAGUCGAACGGAAAGGCCCUGCUUUUGUGGGGUGCUCGAGUGGCGAACGGGUGAGUAACACGUGAGUAACCUGCCCUUGACUUUGGGAUAACUUCAGGAAACUGGGGCUCAUACCGGAUAGGAGCUCCUGCUGCAUGGUGUGGGAUGGAAAGUUUCGGCGGUUGGGGAUGGACUCGCUGCUUAUCCGCUUGUUGGUGGGGUAGUGGCUUACCAAGGGUUUGACGGGUAGCCGGCCUGAGAGGGUGACCGGCCACAUUGGGACUGAGAUACGGCCCAGACUCCUACGGGAGGCAGCAGGGGGGAAUAUUGCACAAUGGGCGGAAGCCUGAUGCAGCAACGCCGCGUGCGGGAUGACGGCCUUCGGGUUGUAAACCGCUUUCGCCGGUGACGAAGCGGGAGUGACGGUAACGGGUAAAGAAGCACCGGCUAACUACGUG
rnacentral:rRNA from 1 species